rnacentral:rRNA from 1 species
CUCUACAGCCAUGCCACCCUGAACAUGCUCGAUCCCUUCUGAUCUUGGAAGCUAAGCAGGGUCAGGCCUGGUUAGAACUUGGAUGGGAGACCACCUAGGAAGACCAGGUGCUAUAGGUG